rnacentral:rRNA from 1 species
UACGUAGGGGGCGAGCGUCAUCCGGAUUCACUGGGCGUAAAGGGAGCGCAGGCGGCACGGCAAGUCCGGUGUGGAAGCCCGGGGCCCAAGCCCGGGACUGCACUGGAAACUGCCGGGCUGGAGUGUCGGAGGGGCAGGCGGAAUUCCUAGUGUAGCGGUGAAAUGCGUAGAUAUUAGGAGGAACACCGGUGGCGAAGGCGGCCUGCUGGACGACGACUGACGCUGAGGCUCGAAAGCGUGGGGAGCAAACAGG